ensembl:Y_RNA Y_RNA Y RNA
GGCUGGGGUCCGAAGUAGUGGGUUAAGGCAAUUGAUUGUUCAUAGUCAGUUACAGAUUUAACUCCUUGGUCUAUUCUUUCCCUUCUCACUACUACACUUGACUAGUCUUAA